rnacentral:rRNA from 1 species
AUACGGAGGAUCCGAGCGUUAUCCGGAUUUAUUGGGUUUAAAGGGAGCGUAGGCGGACGCUUAAGUCAGUUGUGAAAGUUUGCGGCUCAACCGUAAAAUUGCAGUUGAUACUGGGUGUCUUGAGUACAGUAGAGGCAGGCGGAAUUUGUGGGUGAGGGGUGGAAUGCUUAGAUAUCACGAAGAACUCCGAUUGCGAAGGCAGCCUGCUGGACUGUAACUGACGCUGAUGCUCGAAAGUGUGGGUAUCAAACAGGAUUAGAUACCCUGGUAGUCCACACAGUAAACGAUGAAUACUCGCUGUUUGCGAUAUACAGUAAGCGGCCAAGCGAAAGCGUUAAGUAUUCCACCUGGGGAGUACGCCGGCAACGGUGAAACUCAAAGGAAUUGACGGGG